ensembl:lncRNA
AUCUUCAUUGCUUGAGGUGUUCUUCUAUCCCAGCAAGACUUGGAACACCUUGUUUCCAUACCAACUCUAGCAUGAAAAUAUUUGUACCUGUGUUUUCCUCAGCUCAUACAUGCCUCUCUGAGGUAGGCUGUAAUGCUCUUAUCUUCUUACCCAUGCCAGAUCUCAAACCACAAACUGCACUGACUCAGGCUCAGAGAGAGUGCUGUGACCAGGAACAGGGUGGUGACUUGGUCUCUGGUCUCUAGGGAAGGAGAUUCUGCUCCACGCUGAAAUUUAUGUUGUGCACAACAGGCUACAACACACGGGCUGAAGCAGAACAUCUCUGUUUUGCCAAAAACAGUGUUCCUGCCUAGGAAAAGAAGGUAGUCAAAAUGAGAACAAAAAUCUGCUGUGUUCGCCUAUUUUUUGUUCAGUCUAUGCGUAUGGUUUUAAAAGAUUUUUAACUUGAAGUUGAAGAUAUUCUACCAAAUCGUGAGGAGGAGGACAGCUGCUACACUCUCACUCCCUUUCGUACCCUCCCACGAGGCACCGUGCACCCAGCUCCAAACAAGCGUGCAGCAGUGAAUCGUGACAGCCUGGUGUUUUAUUGCUGUGAAGCAGCGAUCCUCUGGCAGCCCCUCGUGGGACCAAUUACUCGCCCUUGCUGCAGGAAUGACGUGCCCCUGGCAGAAGCGAAGGUGAAGGUAUGUACCUAGAUUUCAUCUGGAGCAGACCAGGUUCCUCAUAUGGAUCAGUGAUGGGAGGCAUGCCUGGAUCCUACAGUGUGAAUGCCACUCUGAGCAGCUUGAGAAACACUGACUCUCAGUCCUUCUUUGUGGCUGAUGUAGCAAUUGCUUCUGUGCCUGUCAAUCAGUCCCUCACAUGCUUGUGACUUCUCAGAAAAGGCAUCUUCUCUGGUAUUCUUGAUGCACAGAAGAAAAUAAGAAGAAAAUAAAAAAUCCAUUGAAACUAGCAAGUAUAUACUUUUAAUGACAUGGCA